rnacentral:lncRNA from 1 species
UGGUCGACAAAAGUGGAGCUUUUGCUCCUACGUAUCCUCAAUUGCGAUGAGGCACUCAGACCUACGUAGUUCUUUCUUAUCAAGUGAUUCUUUUUUACUUAAGAGGUGAUCAUUUUAAGGCGUUAGACCUUGAAAAUGAUCCAUUUUUACUUAGUGAGAAAUUGAAAUGACAAACUUCAAAAACCUAUUUUUGUGGACGAGCUU